CAGAAGGUAGUUUAUAAAAAAAUUUUAAUUUUGGAGAUUAAAGAUAAAGAAGUUACUUUUUUUCUGA
rnacentral:tRNA from 1 species